rnacentral:rRNA from 1 species
AGCGGCGGACGGGUGAGUAACGCGUGGGCAACCUGCCCCAUACAGAGGGAUAGCCACUGGAAACGGUGAUUAAUACCUCAUGAGUCAGUAGGAUCGCAUGAUCUAGCUGACAAAGAUUUAUCGGUAUGGGAUGGGCCCGCGUCUGAUUAGCUAGUUGGUGAGGUAACGGCUCACCAAGGCGACGAUCAGUAGCCGACCUGAGAGGGUGAUCGGCCACACUGGAACUGAGACACGGUCCAGACUCCUACGGGAGGCAGCAGUGGGGAAUAUUGCACAAUGGGCGCAAGCCUGAUGCAGCAACGCCGCGUGAGUGAAGAAGGCCUUCGGGUCGUAAAACUCUGUCCUAUGGGAAGAAACAAAUGACGGUACCAUGGGAGGAAGCCCCGGCUAACUACGUGCCAGCAGCCGCGGUAAUACGUAGGGGGCAAGCGUUAUCCGGAAUCACUGGGCGUAAAGGGUGCGUAGGUGGCUUAUCAAGCCAGGGGUGAAAGGCAUUGGCUCAACCAAUGUAAGCCUUUGGAACUGAUAGGCUUGAGUGCAGGAGAGGUAAGUGGAAUUCCUAGUGUAGAGGUGAAAUUCGU